rnacentral:rRNA from 1 species
AUACGUAGGGGGCAAGCGUUGUCCGGAAUUAUUGGGCGUAAAGCGCGCGCAGGCGGUCCUUUAAGUCUGAUGUGAAAGCCCACGGCUCAACCGUGGAGGGUCAUUGGAAACUGGGGGACUUGAGUGCAGAAGAGGAAAGUGGAAUUCCAAGGGUAGCGGUGAAAUGCGUAGAGAUUUGGAGGAACACCAGUGGCGAAGGCGACUUUCUGGUCUGUAACUGACGCUGAGGCGCGAAAGCGUGGGGAGCAAACAGGAUUAGAUACCCUGGUAGUCCACGCCGUAAACGAUGAGUGCUAAGUGUUAGGGGGUUUCCGCCCCUUAGUGCUGCAGCUAACGCAUUAAGCACUCCGCCUGGGGAGUACGGUCGCAAGACUGAAACUCAAAUGAAUUGACGGGG